GCUGGGUGGGUGGUGCUCGCCUGUAAUCCCAGCUACUUGGAGGCUGAGGCAGGAGAAUUGCUUGAACCUGGGAGGUAGAGGUUGCAGUGAGCCGAGAUCGGGCCACUGCACUCCAGCCCAGGUGACAUAGCAAGACUCUGUCUCAA
rnacentral:SRP_RNA from 1 species